AAAAGUAACCGACUAAGCCAUGCGAGUCAAGGUAUCGUAAGAUGCCGGCAAACUGCUCAGUAACACGUGGAUAAUCUAACCUUGAGUAAGGGAUAACUUCGGGAAACUGAAGGUAAUACCUUAUAAUUGCUUAAAACUGGAAUGUUUUUGCAAUAAAAGUUACGACGCUCAAGGAUGAGUCUGCGACCUAUCAGGUAGUAGGUGGUGUAAUGGACCACCUAGCCUCAGACGGGUACGGGCCCUGGGAGGGGUAGCCCGGAGAUGGACUCUGAGACAUAAGUCCAGGCCCUACGGGGCGCAGCAGGCGCGAACACUGUGCAAUGCGCGAAAGCGCGACACGGGGAGCUUGAGUGUCUUGGCAUAGCCAAGACUUUUCUCAUUCCUAAAAAGCAUGAGGAAUAAGUGCUGGGUAAGACGGGUGCCAGCCGCCGCGGUAACACCCGCAGCACGAGUAGUGGUCACUUUUAUUGAGCCUAAAGCGUUCGUAGCCGGUUUUGUAAAUCUUCAGAUAAAGCCUGAAGCUUAACUCCAGAAAGUCUGAAGAGACUGCAAGACUUGAGAUCGGGUGAGGUUAAACGUACUUUCAGGGUAGGGGUAAAAUCCUGUAAUCCCGGAAGGACGACCAGUGGCGAAAGCGUUUAACUAGAACGAAUCUGACGGUAAGGAACGAAGGCUAGGGUAGCAAACCGGAUUAGAUACCCGGGUAGUCCUAGCUGUAAACAUUGCCCAUUUGAUGUUGCUUUUCCGUUGAGGGAAGGCAGUGUCGGAGCGAAGGUGUUAAAUGGGCCGCUUGGGAAGUAUGGUCGCAAGACUGAAACUUAAAGGAAUUGGCGGGGGAGCACCGCAACGGGAGGAAUGUGCGGUUUAAUUGGAUUCAACGCCGGAAAACUCACCGGGAACGACCUGUGCAUGAGAGUCAACCUGACGAGCUUACUCGA
rnacentral:rRNA from 1 species